rnacentral:rRNA from 1 species
GACGAACGCUGGCGGCGUGCCUAAUACAUGCAAGUAGAACGCACAGUUUAUACCGUAGCUUGCUACACCAUAGACUGUGAGUUGCGAACGGGUGAGUAACGCGUAGGUAACCUGCCUGGUAGCGGGGGAUAACUAUUGGAAACGAUAGCUAAUACCGCAUAAUAUUGAUUAUUGCAUGAUAAUUGAUUGAAAGAUGCUAUUGCAUCACUACCAGAUGGACCUGCGUUGUAUUAGCUAGUAGGUGAGGUAACGGCUCACCUAGGCGACGAUACAUAGCCGACCUGAGAGGGUGAUCGGCCACACUGGGACUGAGACACGGCCCAGACUCCUACGGGAGGCAGCAGUAGGGAAUCUUCGGCAAUGGACGAAAGUCUGACCGAGCAACGCCGCGUGAGUGAAGGAGGUUUUCGGAUCGUAAAGCUCUGUUGUAAGAGAAGGACGGGUGUGAGAGUGGAAAGUUCACACUGUGACGGUAUCUUACCAGAAAGGGACGGCUAACUACGUG